UACGAAGGGGGCUAGCGUUGCUCGGAAUGACUGGGCGUAAAGGGCGCGUAGGCGGCUUGGCAAGUCAGGCGUGAAAUUCCUGGGCUCAACCUGGGGGCUGCGCUUGAGACUGCUGGGCUUGAGGAUGGAAGAGGCUCGUGGAAUUCCCAGUGUAGAGGUGAAAUUCGUAGAUAUUGGGAAGAACACCGGUGGCGAAGGCGGCGAGCUGGUCCAUUACUGACGCUGAGGCGCGACAGCGUGGGGGAGCAAACAGG
rnacentral:rRNA from 1 species